rnacentral:rRNA from 1 species
AGUGAACGCUGGCGGUAGGCCUAACACAUGCAAGUCGAACGGCAGCACAGUAAGAGCUUGCUCUUACGGGUGGCGAGUGGCGGACGGGUGAGGAAUACAUCGGAAUCUACUUUUUCGUGGGGGAUAACGUAGGGAAACUUACGCUAAUACCGCAUACGACCUACGGGUGAAAGCAGGGGAUCUUCGGACCUUGCGCGAUUGAAUGAGCCGAUGUCGGAUUAGCUAGUUGGCGGGGUAAAGGCCCACCAAGGCGACGAUCCGUAGCUGGUCUGAGAGGAUGAUCAGCGACACUGGAACUGAGACACGGUCCAGACUCCUACGGGAGGCAGCAGUGGGGAAUAGUGGACAAUGGGCGCAAGCAUGAUCCAGCCAUACCGCGUGGGUGAAGAAGGCCUUCGGGUUGUAAAGACCUUUUGUUGGGAAAGAAAAGCAGCAGGUUAAGACCACGCUGUUCUGACGGUACCCAAAGAAUAAGCACCGGCUAACUUCGUG